rnacentral:rRNA from 1 species
CUACGGGCUGCACCAGUGAGGAAUAUUGCACAAUGGGGGGAACCCUGAUGCAGCAACGCCGCGUGGAGGAUGACGCAUUUCGGUGUGUAAACUCCUUUUAUAUGUCAAGAAAAUGACGGUAGCAUAUGAAUAAGCACCGGCUAACUCCGUGCCAGCAGCCGCGGUAAUAGGGAGGGUGCAAGCGUUACUCGGAAUCACUGGGCGUAAAGGACGCGUAGGCGGGUUGGAAAGUCAGGUGUGAAAUCCUACAGCUUAACUGUAGAACUGCACUUGAAACUUCUAAUCUAGAGUAUGGGAGGGGGAGAUGGAAUUAGUGGUGUAGGGGUAAAAUCCGUAGAUAUCACUAGGAAUACCUAAAGCGAAGGCGAUCUCCUGGAACAUUACUGACGCUAAGGCGUGAAAGCGUGGGGAGCAAACAGGAUUAGUACCCCCGUAGUC